GCUUGGGUGGCCCAGUUGGUUGAGCAUCCGACUUCGACUCAGGUCAUGAUGUCAUGGUUUGUGGGUUCAAGUCCCACGUCGGGCU
rnacentral:tRNA from 1 species